UAUGGGAGGAGCGGUGAGCAGCA
rnacentral:piRNA from 1 species